GGUUCUUUGAUAUGCCAAAUCUAACUGUGUAUGUAGAUUCUUCAUUUUUGGUCCUGUUUUCAAAUUGGUCUACGCGCAUUAAAGUCCAAAGGGUCCAAUAUUAAACUAAGUUUGAUUUUAACAAAAAUUGAAUUCUUGGGCCUCUUUGAUAUGCUGAAUCUAAACAUGUACUUAGAUUUUUGAUUAUGGGCCCAGUUUUCAAGUUGGUCCAAAUCAGGAUCUAAAAUUAUUAUAUUAAAUAUUGUGCAAUAGCAAGUCCUUUCAAUUGCACAGUAUUGCGCAAUGGCAAGAAAUAUCUAACUGCACAAUAUUGUGAAAUAGCAAAAAAAAAUUUAAUUAGAGUUAUCUUUCUUUGUCCAGAAUAGUAAGCA
rnacentral:lncRNA from 1 species